CCUACGGGUGGCAGCAGUCGAGAAUCAUUCACAAUGGGGGAAACCCUGAUGGUGCGACGCCGCGUGGGGGAAUGAAGGUCUUCGGAUUGUAAACCCCUGUCAUGUGGGGGCAAAUCAAGAAGAUAGUACCACAAGAGGAAGAGACGGCUAACUCUGUGCCAGCAGCUGCGGUAAUGCAGAGGUCUCAAGCGUUGUUCGGAAUCAGUGGGCGUAAGGGGUGCGUAGGCUGUUUCGUAAGUCGUGUGUGAAAGGCGCGGGCUCAACCCGCGGACGGCACAUGAUACUGCGAGACUAGAGUAAUGGAGCGGGAGCCGGAAUGCUCGGUGUAGCAGUGAAAUGCGUAGAUAUC
rnacentral:rRNA from 1 species